rnacentral:rRNA from 1 species
AUUGAACGCUGGCGGCAGGCCUAACACAUGCAAGUCGAACGAGUGGCGGACGGGUGAGUAAUGUCUGGGAAACUGCCUGAUGGAGGGGGAUAACUACUGGAAACGGUAGCUAAUACCGCAUACCAUCGGAUGUGCCCAGAUGGGAUUAGCUAGUAGGUGGGGUAAAGGCUCACCUAGGCGACGAUCCCUAGCUGGUCGGAGAGGAGGACCUGCCACACUGGAACUGAGACACGGUCCCGACUCGUAGGGGAGGCGGCAGUGGGGAAUAGGGCAAAAUGGGCGAAAUCCUGAUGCAGCCAGGCCGCGGGUAUGAAGAAGGCCUUCUUGUUUUAAAGUACUUUCCUCGGGGAGGCGUUACCAGCAGAAGAAGCACCGGCUAACGCCGUGCCAGCAGCCGCGGUAAUAC